CACACAACCAAACAGCAAAGGGCAUAGGCCAAAAAAGACCAUACUCGCCCCAAAGAUUUGACAGAAUAUGGUGGGCGUCUCAGCUUGCAUUUUAUACCCCGGAUCCAUGUGCAAAUACAGAGCAAAGGCCCCUGGGAUCACAUGACCUCCCAGGUCAGCGAGUAGCAAAGCCACUGUUAGUAGCAGAAAGUGUGCUUUUGAUUGGCGCUGGAAUCGGAUGUGGGACUUAGCCAGGAUGCCCAGAGCGGUGAGGUUGGAGACAGCACCAAAUGUCAUAGUGAAGCAGGACAUCCCGAUGCCUGAAGAUCUGACCGAUGGCCAGGUGCUGCUGUUCAGCCACGGACUUGGCUGUUCAGUGGAGUUGAUAUUCAUGUUCUGGUGGAGGACGGAUGGCGUAGAAGAAGAAAAGACUCUCGGACAGUCUCUCCCUCUCCUAGGUCAGUCUCUCUCUCUCUUUCUGUCCACAGGCUUUGCAGCUAUUCUAUGUCUGUGUGCUGGACUUGUCUUUUCCAUCCUCCUGCCUUCUCUUAGUUCCUCCUAUCGAUUCAUCUCCUCUGCUGAUACUUUGAGCCAGAGGUGAUCCCAGCUGUCAUUUUCAUUUUGUAACACUGAUUCCGUGUUAGCUGAAUGCCACAUGAAGGGUGAGCUAAUAUUUUGCAAUUCACUUUGUCAAUUGCUUAAUAAUAGUAGUAAUACUAAUAAUGCAUCCCUCAAUACAGGCAGAGAUCUGAGUCAUUCAACAGGGGCCGUGAUAUGUUUGUGUUUGUGUGACUGUCAGUCACAUAAACAUAAGAACAGAAGAGAGACAUACAUCAGAGGAUUUGGAAGAGCAUGAAGAUUAUUAUAUGUUUAAAUGGUUUCCUGUGUACUUGUGGUAUCCUGUGUAGAAGAAUGUCACACUUGGAUCACAUGCUAACUGAACAUCAUCCUAACAGAUAUUCUUCUGAAUAUUUUAGAUACAAAAAACACCUGUGUUUUAACAUAUGGGUAUAAACCAAACAAUGCAUCAACACUAACACUCCCAAAGUUUGUAAAUGUGUAAAGAGGUAAUAUUGCACUCAUUUUCACUGAUAUAAUAUACAGUACAUUUGUUUACAGUUACUUAAGGUCUGUUAGCUUUUUGAGGCCAUCAUGCUUGUGAUCUGCCAUAAACAGGAAGGAAGAGGAGAAACGUC